rnacentral:rRNA from 1 species
AUUGAACGCUGGCGGCAUGCCUUACACGUGCAAGUCGAACGGCAGCACGGGUGCUUGCACCUGGUGGCGAGUGGCGAACGGGUGAGUAAUACAUCGGAACGUACCUUAUCGUGGGGGAUAACGCAGCGAAAGCUGUGCUAAUACCGCAUACGCCCUGAGGGGGAAAGCGGGGGAUCGCAAGACCUCGCGCGAUUAGAGCGGCCGAUGCCUGAUUAGCUUUUUGGUGGGGUAAAAGCCCACCAAGGCGACGAUCAGUAGCUGGUCUGAGAGGACGAUCAGCCACACUGGGACUGAGACACGGCCCAGACUCCUACGGGAGGCAGCAGUGGGGAAUUUUGGACAAUGGGGGCAACCCUGAUCCAGCAAUGCCGCGUGAGUGAAGAAGGCCUUCGGGUUGUAAAGCUCUUUUGUCAGGGAAGAAACACCGGCUCUAACACAGUCUGGGAAUGACGGUACCCGAAGAAUAAGCACCGGCUAACUACGUGCCAGCAGCCGCCGUAA